rnacentral:rRNA from 1 species
UACGGAGGGCGCAAGCGUUGUUCGGACUCAUUGGGCGUAAAGCGCGUGCAGGCGGCUUGGUAAGUCGGGUGUGAAAGCCCGGGGCUCAACCCCGGAACUGCACCCGAUACUGCCUCGCUAGAGUCCCGGAGAGGAUGGCGGAAUUUCCGGUGUAGAGGUGAAAUUCGUAGAUAUCGGAAGGAACACCAGCGGCGAAGGCGGCCAUCUGGACGGUGACUGACGCUCAGACGCGAAAGCGUGGGGAGCAAACAGG